rnacentral:rRNA from 1 species
UACCAGCACCCCGAGUUGUCGGGACGAUUAUUGGGCCUAAAGCAUCCGUAGCCUGUUCUGCAAGUCCUCCGUUAAAUCCACCCGCUUAACGGAUGGGCUGCGGGGGAUACUACAGCGCUAGGAGGCGGGAGAGGCAAGCGGUACUCAAUGGGUAGGGGUAAAAUCCGCUGAUCCAUUGAAGACCACCAGUGGCGAAGGCGGCUUGCCAGAACGCGCUCGACGGUGAGGGAUGAAAGCUGGGGGAGCAAACCGG